UUGAACGGUUUCAUUCAAAAGUGGAAAUGAGAGCUUAGGUAUAUCUUAAAUUAGGAAUGAGAGAUGAAGAGCCAACUCAGUAGAAAAUUUGUGAAAAUGAGUUUUAAGCCAGGAUCAAAAGAAGCGAGCACCUUGUCACACAACUAUGAGAAAUUGAAAUCUUACACAACAAAAUAAGGUCUUUAUCUCAGGCAAGAGCUAUUGAUCUAGCAGAUACCAUAAUUCAAUGAGGAUUUCAGAGACAACAGCCCACAAAAUAUCAAUCCAACAGGCAUGACAUUGCAAUGGCUCAAAUUCAC